GCUGUGCAAAUAGAACAUCAAACGAAACCGAUUCCCCGAUCGAUAGCGACGGAACAGAUGUUUCAUUGGCCGACUUUAAAUAAGUUUGAAUAGCAAGAGGCCGAUAGCUUGCUGGCCGAGCUUCUAAAAAUACAGCGACGUAGAACUCACAUUUUCCCUAACUCAACUUCUUUGCAAAAAGUGGUCGGAUGAAUCAUGUUCGGCCAAACGAAUUUAAGCGUGCUCUGCCCUCUCUACAAUACAUAAAGAGGAGGCACCACAAUCUGCAUUAUUACCUUCCCCAUAUCUCACACAAUCGUACUGAGGGAAAGACUGACGCACGGCUUUCAACCUGGUAAAUAGGUCAAAGGCCAGAUAUUCAUCAUGCACUAAGGACCCGCGAAAAAAAUCGAUACACAUCACUACUUUGUUGAUUUUAAGGCUGUCUGCUGUUGAACGUAAAGGAGCUGCCUCUAAGUCGCUAUGCCAGAACAUGCUCUCCCCACUAAAACGUACAUGGCUCUGUGAAUUGGAGUUAAGUAACAGCAAAGGCUUCGUCAGAAUAGCAGAAGACCUCUCAGAGCUAGAAGAUAAGGUCUUCUCAUCUCGUGAAUCCAACGCAAAAUACUGCAGCCGAUGGAAUGAUGCAACUGUCCGAGUUAUACAGCGACAUUGGACGUUCAGCUCUGCAAGUUUUCGAUGGAGUACCCGCUAGUGGAAGCUAUACUUGGUGUAUCCAAUUGGCGCCAAACAGCGAAAAGAGAGAAUAUUUAGUGAAAGAGAAGCGGACUUCAAAAGAGAAUUUAAGAAAUUGCAGUUGAGUCCUUUCGACAUCAGAUCAAAGUUGUGGGCGUUUAUACUGUUGGCAAUUUUCGUUUGAUAUUAUGGUUUCGAACUAAUAAAA